rfam:Dipodomys ordii contig_32825, whole genome shotgun sequence.
GGGAAUGUGGCUUAGUGGUAGAGUUCUUGCCUUGCAUGCAUGAAGUCCUUGGUUCAAUUCCUCAGUACCA